rnacentral:misc_RNA from 1 species
UCCGGUUUGUCACCGGCAGUCACCUUAGAGUGCCCAACUAAAUGCUGGCAACUAAGAUCAAGGGUUGCGCUCGUUGCGGGACUUAACCCAACAUCUCACGACACGAGCUGACGACAACCAUGCACCACCUGUACACCAGCCACAAGGGAACGCCUAUCUCUAGACGCGUCUAGUGCAUGUCAAACCCAGGUAAGGUUCUUCGCGUUGCAUCGAAUUAAUCCGCAUGCUCCGCCGCUUGUGCGGGCCCCCGUCAAUUCCUUUGAGUUUUAGCCUUGCGGCCGUACUCCCCAGGCGGGGCGCUUAAUGCGUUAGCUGCGGCACAGAGAACCGGAGAGGCCCCCCACACCUAGCGCCCAACGUUUACAGCGUGGACUAC